GCAUCGGUGGUUCAGUCGUAGAAUUGUCGCCUGUCACGCGAUAGACCCGAGUUCGACUCCCGGCCGAUGCA